rnacentral:SRP_RNA from 1 species
GCUGGGCAAAGUCAUGUAAAUCUGCAAUCCCAGGUACUGGAUAGACAGAAGGUGAUGGAUCUCUUGAGUUUCCGAGUUUUAAGCUAUAGUGGGCUAAGCCAACCAGGUGCUUGCCCUAAGUUUGACAUCAAUAUGAUGAGCCUCUGGGAGCUAGAACUCACCAAGUUGCUUAAGGAGGGGUGAAACAGGCCAGGUUGAAAGCAAAACAUGCCAAAGCUUCCAUGCCAAUCAUUAGUGGGAUUGGGCCACUAGUAGCACUAUAUUUCUGGCCCGAGUAAGAUAGAAAGUUUCAGUCUUU